rnacentral:rRNA from 1 species
UACACAUGCAGUCGAACGGCAGCGCGGGAGCAAUCCUGGCGGCGAGUGGCGAACGGGUGAGUAAUACAUCGGAACGUGCCCAAUCGUGGGGGAUAACGCAGCGAAAGCUGUGCUAAUACCGCAUACGAUCUACGGAUGAAAGCAGGGGACCGCAAGGCCUUGCGCGAAUGGAGCGGCCGAUGGCAGAUUAGGUAGUUGGUGAGGUAAAGGCUCACCAAGCCUGCGAUCUGUAGCUGGUCUGAGAGGACGACCAGCCACACUGGGACUGAGACACGGCCCAGACUCCUACGGGAGGCAGCAGUGGGGAAUUUUGGACAAUGGGCGCAAGCCUGAUCCAGCCAUGCCGCGUGCAGGAUGAAGGCCUUCGGGUUGUAAACUGCUUUUGUACGGAACGAAAAGGUCUUCUCUAAUAAAGAGGGCCCAUGACGGUACCGUAAGAAUAAGCACCGGCUAACUACGUGCCAGCAGCCGCGGUAAUACGUAGGGUGCAAGCGUUAAUCGGAAUUACUGGGCGUAAAGCGUGCGCAGGCGGUGAUGUAAGACAGUUGUGAAAUCCCCGGGCUCAACCUGGGAACUGCAUCUGUGACUGCAUCGCUGGAGUGCGGCAGAGGGGGAUGGAAUUCCGCGUGUA